AAAAUUCUAAAAUCCUCUUUCUAAUCUUCAGUCUAUCUCUCUCUUCUUUUUAAAGUAGCUAUUCCUUUAUUUUCAUUGAAUUUAUGAGCAAAAUGUUCGAAUUGUUGGGUUGCGUGUCUGUGCGUUCCUUCAUAAAUACGCCCGCCUCUUGCUCCUCUUAUUCUCCAUCAGGACCCACCUCUUUCUCUCUCUACCUUUCUCUCUCUUGUUUUUCUCUUUCCGUUUGUUCUCCUCUCUCUCUCUCUCUCUCUCUUGUUUUUCGCACUACUCAAGAUUUAACCCCACUCAGUGUUGCUUUAUCUUUCAUCUUUCUCGUGAUUUCUCUCUCUACACCUGUCCUCUGAUUCUCUCGAAGGGUUUAAUCUCUCUCUCUCUAACUUCCGAUAGCUUCCGAGUUUGGUGUUUAUCGCUCUCUAACUUGAAGGUUUGAUCACUUUUCCUUUUUCCAAAUUUCACGUCUGUAUCCCUUUCUCUCUCUUCCGAUAUAUCAUCUCUCUAAAAUUUUUGCGGUUAAUCUCUCUCCUCUACCUGAAUUGCGCUCUGAUAUCUCUGUCAAAAACUUCCGGUUCAAG
rnacentral:lncRNA from 1 species